rnacentral:rRNA from 1 species
CGCAUACGACCUGAGGGUGAAAGCAGGGGAUCGCAAGACCUUUGCGCGACGGGAGCGGCCGAUGUCGGAUUAGCUAGUUGGUGAGGUAAAGGCUCACCAAGGCGACGAUCCGUAGCUGGUCUGAGAGGACGACCAGCCACACUGGAACUGAGACACGGUCCAGACUCCUACGGGAGGCAGCAGUGGGGAAUUUUGCGCAAUGGGCGAAAGCCUGACGCAGCGACGCCGCGUGGAGGAUGAAGAUUUUCGGAUUGUAAACUCCUUUUGUCGGGGAAGAUAAUGACGGUACCCGGCGAAUAAGCCACGGCUAACUCUGCGCCAGCAGCCGCGGUAAGACAGAGGUGGCAAGCGUUGUUCGGAAUUACUGGGCUUAAAGGGCGCGUAGGUGUCCCGACAAGUCAGGUGUGGAAGCUUCCCGCUUAACGGGAAAAUUGC